AAAAGUACCCCAGAAAAAAGGACACUUUCUCUCGAGGAAGAAAAAGGGCAGGUGCUCAAGCCCCCUUUGAUGUCUAUGUGUGCACGUGCCUGGACAUGCAGAGUUUGGACCUGUGGAACACAAGGAGAAAACACAGAGAUUCAGGCAGCGACAGCUCAGAUGAUCCAGCCCUCACAGUGGUCCCCAGGUCAUCCAAAUCUCUGUCAGGGGUGAGCCGCCAUAGAGAUUUCAUUUGAAGAUUACCAGUCGAUAUUGCAAAGAGGAUUUGGGGUGAGGAGGUCUGCUUUUCCCAAGGCAUUGCAUAUUGUCUUUCACAGUUUAUAAAAUAACAUAAAAUCUACUUGUUUCCCUUUUCUCAGAAAGCGGUAUUGCCAGUUUAGCCUUGACUAGUUCGUAUGAAUUUGGAUGCCUUCUUUCACUGUCACUGUGCUUGUAGACUAUUCCUUUCAAUCCCUUGAAAUAAUCUAAACCUGUUCUUCUACGCAAACGACUUUAUUUCCUGUGGGCAAGUAGGUUAAUUUGAUAUCAAAGACACUCUUUACCUAGAAAGCACUUGUUUUCAAAAAAAACCCUCUAUAACUAUUUGGAAUAUUUAGGGGUAAUAUCUAUACAUUACUAUUAUUACUGUUACUGUUAAUGCUGGUAUUUAGGUUGACAUACAUGUAUUGAGUUCAAAUGAGCUUUUGGAUAGGAACAAUGGAUUCCCUUGGCGCUAAUCAAAUUGUCUGCUGACCAUCCAAAGUUUUUUUUUUGUGUUUUUUUUACUGAGAGAAGUGACUUUUUUUUCUUUGGACUGCGAUGAAAACUUACUGACCAGUGAGAUAAGAGCUUUUUGUCAUUUUCCCAGAGUCACUCUGCUGCACAAUCCAGCAUGUUGGUGGCACUAAUUAACUGCCAAACUGUGCUGUGCUCUUUUACUCGUCUCAUCCACAAAAACUCUGAAUUCAAUGCUAAUAUGCAGCAAAUAAAUAAUAUAAAAGCUGUAAACACAUUCCUUCUUUUUUAGAAUAAAUAUGUAAUGUGCUGAUACCUCAUAUUAUAUAAUACUUGGUGUUUUGUCUUAAUGUACAUUUAAUAUGUAUAUUACUGUGCCUGUUAUAUUAUCCAGGCAUUAAAAAAGCAGUGAGGUUUGGAAAUUUAUUUUGACUGGCUCGUAGUAAAUUAUAACAUGAAAAGCAAUAUUUUACCACUAGUGUAGACAAAUGAAUUGCAGAACAUCACUGCUAUUUUUAUUGCAAGGAUAAUAUAACACAAAGUAUUCCUGUAACUUUGCUCUUUUUCUCACCACGCACAAGAAACCCUGAAUUCAAUACAAUUAUGCAAUAAUUAAAUAAAGAAAAGACUGUGAGUCUGUGAUUUCUUCUAUAUCAUUUUUAAUAUUAUGCAUCAUAUUUUCUAGUCCUUUUUUUUUUUUUUUGUCUUAAUGUAUAUUAUUCAAUGUGUAUUUAUAUCACUGUACCAUGUAUUAUAAUAUCUAGGAAUUAAAAAUGAGAGAAGCUGGGUUCAGGAGCCCAUUUGCAAAAUACAUGUGCAAAUAUAAAGAGGAUGUAUAUUUACGCAACAGUGCUUUUCACUCAUCUCACUUGUAUAUAUAAAAAAACACAGAUUCUAUAUUCCUUAAAAUGAAGAAAAAACAUGGACAGAACAUAAUGAAACAGUUAAACAUUAAAUACCUUAACAGCGUUAAAAAAAAUUAAUCUUAUGCAUUGACAGCUGAAUUAGGUCCGAGCAGGAAAACCAAAUAAAUAUGUUUGUAGAACAGUGCUGUCUACUGUAAAGGGGUAAAAUAGUUUUUCAUUUUAUUUGUUACAGUUUUAAGAUUUUAAAACUUUGUGUGUUAAGAGCUUUUGUCGGCAGUUUGUCUCGUAAAUUCGUCGAAUAGGCCUUAAGAUUGUGGAGCACAGCAACUAAUGUGGAUACUUAUUUCUUUACUCCUAUUGCAGGUACUGGAACCUGAAGACAGGUAUAUGUACAGUGGUAUUUCAUGGACAUUUUGGCACUAUAAACUGCCUGGAUAUGUAUGGAGACAGACUGGUAUCUGGUGCCAAAGACUGCAGAAUCAAAGGUAGCUGUACUGGAGGUUUGGUCAAGAUGUGGAGAAUUGAGACUGCAUCACUCAUGCAAAUCAAUGGCCAUAAGGGGGCAGUACUGUGUCUGUGCCUCGACCAGUGACAUUUCCUGUUUGGGGGUCAGAUGGGGUGGUCAAGUCAUGGAGCACCAGCUGUAAUUUCAAAAAGAGUCUGAUGAGUUUCCAGCAUCCAAAACGAUGUCUUUCCUGUUCCUGUGGGUCAUUACCGGCUGCAUGGAUGGAAAGAUCAUGAUCUUUAACUUCUUAAAUGGGGACUUCUUGAGAGUUAUCAAGACAAACAUGGAGCAGAGCCCAGUUCUGCUCCUGCAUGCACACAAUAGCAUGCAGUAUACUGAUGCUUCAGUUCACAGAGGUUCAUUGGGACUACUCUGCCAGUGCCGUGAGGGAUUUUUUUGAUUGGUCUAUUCAUGUCUCCCCUGAGUGUGCGCUUCGGAGUGCAAAACAGUCACGAGCGAGCACAUCAACCCCAAAAAGUCUGUCCCACUGUUUCAAGAGCCCUGCAACCCCUAGUAUGCAGCAUGCACAAGAUACUCAGCAGUUGUCCAGAAGCUGGCUUAUUGGCGCAGCAGGGCAGCCAUUGAACUGCAGCCUGAGUUUCCCACCAAGCCCCAAUCUGUUCUCUCAGCAGGCAGGCCUGUCAGUGGAUAUGAAAGACUGACCAAAAAUGGAUCUAGCGGCUGCCAGAUUGCUGCUUCUGGAGCAAGGGGACCAUCCAGUUGAGGAUCACGUCCGUGAGUUUUUAAGAGCAUGUGAAUUUAGUGCACUAUCCAGACCGCUCACUGGUGGUUUUCUUCCGGACCGGUCUGAAUAGUGCACUGAAGGAACUGAUACCUCGGCUGAUCCUCACUGGACACUCUGCGAAUAUGUGGAGAAGGCUCUGGAACUUUGCAGAUCCCUUUACACAGUGGAUUAUGGUGGGAACCCCUGGCCAAAACCUGCAUCUUCUGCUCCCUCAUCCAAGCCUGCCACGGCUCCUUGCUCCGAGCCUGCGCCCACACCUGCCACGGCCAAGGAGCCUGUGUCCAUGCCUGUAGCCUCGACCAUCCCAGAGCCAAUGCCUUUAGCCUCGACCGUCAGCUGUCCAGAAAAGAAGGAAAAGGACACAUUUUCCCCAGUCUCAGCCUGUACUCACGACCACGGAGCUCGUUCCCCAAGUCUCUGCCAGUGUUCACGACCACGGAGGUCAUUCCCCAGUCUCUGCCAGUAUUCACGACCACAGAGGUCGUUCCCAAGUCUCUGCCUGUACUCACGACCACGGAGGUCAUUCUCAAGUCUCUGCCAGUGCUCACGACCACGGAGGUCGUUCCUAAGUCUCAGCCUGUACUCACGACCACAGAGGUCAUUCCCCAGUCGCUGCCAGCUCUCGUCGAGCCUCCCACGGCUCUGCCUUCCAUGGCUUCACCCCUCGAGACUCCUACGGCUCCGCCUUCCAUGGCUUCACCCCUCGAGCCUCCCACGGCUCUGCCUUCCAUGGCUCCGCCCACCUUCGAGCCUCUCCCGGUGGAGCCGGGAGAAAUAAUUGAAACAAUUAUUUUCUAUGAAGGUAUGUACACACUGCAGGCUUGCCGUCUCCGGAGGCUGUUAAAAAUUCUGCAGCGCCAUGGAACACAACUCGCAUAGUUUCCCAUUAAAUUCGACCCAUAUCAUUAUCAAAGCACAUAGAUUAUUUACUCUAGUCAUUACUGAAUUAUAUAGGCCUAUUGUGUAUAAGUGUCUUUCAUAUAGUCUACACAAUGCAUUUUCAGUUACAAGUAUGUCUUUUUGUGGUUUGACAGCUUGAAUGAAAGACCUAUUCAAUGCUAGAUAAAGAGAAAUUACAUAAUAAACGUCACCAUUUCUAAUCGUUCAGUUUGCAUAGUUGCACCAGUUUCAUACAAUAACCUGAAAACUCAUCAAUGUUACUUUGUUAAUUCUUGAAGUACUGUACAAAAACCUUCGUAUCAUUGGACUGCCAUCAGUUCAUAAUGUGUGUGAUAUUUGUACCUUGUCCAUGCUGCGACUGGAUUCAGUAAAUGUUAUGUCGCCUCCUUGUGGUCUCCCAAAGCUUUUACAUCAGACUACAAUGAAUGGAAUGCAACUGGCAGUGAACUGAAAGCACACAAAUUAGGCUUAUAAUUUAAAUGCAGGCUGAUGCUAUAUUGAUGCUUCAAAAAUGGAUCGAUAAAAUAAUGUUCUGAUCAAUAAUCGAUAUAUCGAUAUUUUAUGACAUCCCUAUGUCUUUUGGAUAUACUUUUUAAACUGUGUGCAUUUUAUGUAUUUUAAUGUUUAUGGGUUGGCCCCAUUCACUUCAUUAUGUAAGUGCCUUACUGCAACCGUGAUUUUUGCUAUACACUGAUAUAUAUAUACUGUAAAUAUAUACACUACCGGUCAAAAGUUUUGAAACACUUGACUGAAAUGUUUCUCAUGAUCUUAAACAUCUUUUGAUCUGAAGGCGUAUGCUUAAAUGUUUGACAUUAGUAUUGUAGACAAAAAUAUAAUUGUGCCACCAUAUUAAUUUAUUUCAUUACAAAACUAAAAGGUGCGGUGACCUUGGUGUGUGCACAUGUUAAGACUCCUGUGUGUUGCGGUUGUACAGACACAGUUCCACCUCUAAAAACUAAAUUGUGCCCAAGACAAAAAAUGACCAAAGCAGCAGUUGUGAGUGGGGUGGACAAUGGGGUGGCCAGGCUGCGGUCCAUGGUAGCCACGGCCACCCCUGGCCACCCCCUCGCUCUGCCACUGUUUUAAACCCCAUUGUGUAUUUAGAACAGGGGUGUCCAAACUUUUUCUACUGGGGGCCAGAUCAAAAAUAAAUAAGGUGUCACAGGCCGCACCAUUGUAAUAAUAAUAAUAAUAAAAAGGCUAGAUGCCACUAGUGCAUCAUUUUUAUAUUGUAUGCUUAAUAUAAUGCAAGUUUUAAUAACAUUUUGUGUUAAUAAAUGAUAUUUCUCUCACCAAAAAUGUUUGUAAUAAAACAGUGAUGCAGGGUCAGGAGCAAAAAUGCCUCCAAAAGUGACAGAAAAAUGCCCUAAAGUUUAAAAUGUAGGGGCAAACAUUGCCCUGGUUUCUGUAUUUUUUUAUUUAUACCAUCUAAUAUAAACUCAGCAAAAAAGAAACGUCCCUUUUUCAGGACACUGUAUUUUAAAGAUAAUUUUGUAAAAAUCCAAAUAACUUUACAGAUCUUUAUUGUAAAGGGUUUAAACAAUGUUUUCCAUGCUUGUUCAAUGAACCAUAAACAAUUAAUGAACAUGCACCUGUAGAAUGGUCAUUAAGACACUAACAGCUUACAGAUGGUAGGCAAUUAAGGUCACAGUUAUAAAAACUUAGGACACUAAAGAGACCUUUCUACUGACUCUGAAAAACACCAAAAGAAAGAUGCCCAGGGUCCCUGCUCAUCUGCGUGAACGUGCCUUAGGCAUGCUGCAUGGAGGCAUGAGGACUGCAGAUGUGUCAGGGCAAUAAAUUGCAAUGUCCGUACUGUGAGACGCCUAAGACAGCGCUACAGGGAGACAGGAAGGACAGCUGAUCGUCCUUGCAGUGGCAGACCAUGUGUAACAACACCUGCACAGUAUCGGUACAUCCGAAUAUCACACCUGCGGGACAGGUACAGGAUAGCAACAACAACUGCCCGAGUUACACCAGGAACUCAAAAUCCCUCCAUCAGUGCUCAGACUAUCCGCAAUAGGCUGAGAGAGGCUGGACUGAGGGCUUGUAGGCCUGUGGUAAGGCAGGUCCUUAGCAGACAUCACCAGCAACAACGUCACCUAUGGGCACAAACCCACCUUCGCUGGACCAGACAGGACUGGCAAAAAGUGCUCUUCACUGACGAGUCACGGUUUUGGCUCAUCACGGACUCACAUUUAUCGUCGAAGGAACGAGCAUUACUCCGAGGUCUGUACUCUGGAGCAGGAUCAAUUUGGAGGUGGAGAGUCCGUCAUGGUCUGGGGUGGUGUGUCACAGCCUCAUUGGACUGAGCUUGUUGUCAUUGCAGGCAAUCUCAAUGCAACCAAUUCACCGCAAUGAAUAAACUUCCCAGCGCUGCAGAAGACAUUCUAGGAGAGUGUGCUCGAAUCGCACGUCUUGGUGUGAGCCGCAUAAGAGCAGUCGGCCAUAGUUUGGACACCCCUGAUUUAGAACAUUACAGUCUCAUUACAGAAUUUGCAUGCAUAAAUUGUGAUGAUGGCUUCCUUAUUCAUAGAGGAGACUUAUGACACUGAAAACUCUCUGCUUAGCCAAAGUGAGAAGGCAGUCAGAGACAGGGUGAGAAAGAGAGGCCCUGUGACCCUUGAACUCACUCUAUUGAGAACCAACCUCUCCCAGCAGGGCCAGUAUAUGGUGACCUGGCCAGGACCAACAUGGAGCCGAAUGCCAGAGAGCGAGAUGCCUGGGGGCGGUCACCCAGAUCCAUGCACAGGGACCCAAUAUAAAGACUCUGCCUGCCUAAUCCCCAAAACCCAAACGUCUUACCCAUCAUCUCACACACUGAUGGGACAGCGCUCUCUACAGUCCAGACAGACCUGUUUCAACACCCACUCCCCUGUCCAGCAGGAGGCAGAGUGCCCAAAAGGAUCUCCACCCAAACAAUCUCAUACAUCAUUGAAAGUAAGGGCAGGGAUUAACAAAAUUGGCCCACCUGAAUACCACUUCCCAGGAAGAUGGCAAGACUCUACAGCAAUUGUUUAUGAGGCGAACAACCAUGGCACCACAUUGCCAUGAAGAUUUUGAUAUUUCCAGUACAUCCAGCACAAAUCACAUCCCACUAGACUAGGGGUCAGGAACCUUUUUUCACUAAGGAGACAAUUUUUUCAUUUUUGGUUGAUGUAUUUUUUCAAAAGAGCCAUAGCACAAACUAGUAAUUUACUGUUUUUCAAUAAAAUAAAAUGUUUAUUAUGCCCAUAGACUACUCAAAAACACAAAAACAAACAAAUAUGCAACAAUUAAUAGGUAACAUGUAGCAAUAUAGAAUUGAGCACACGUGUUUGUUGUCUCCAAAAAAUUACUUCAUUAACAAUUGUUCAUGAAAAAGUUCACUUCCCUUUUGAGCUGGGCGAUGUGUACAUUUUUGUAACGAUAAUUGCCUUAAAAAAUUUCUUGAUAUCCGAUUAUAUUGUCAACCCCCCUGCCGAGGGUCAGUGAAUAUUUUUGCUUUAUUGAUUUUGCUUUAAAAAUGAAAUUAAUUUAUUAAAAACAUAAACAAUAGACAUUUCUAAAUUCAAAUUGCAUAAAAAAAUAAUUUAAAAAAAGCAAUUAAAAUAACAAAGUGAUCAAAAAAUCUUAUAUAAAACCACCUCCCCAAAUCUAAACAUUUACCGUCUUCAACGGCCCCAUUUGCCAUCACGCAUGCAUCUGUCAACGACAGAUAAUAAUAAUACUCAUAAUAAAUAAGCCUAAUAAAUUCCCAUGUGUUCCCAAAAAAAUGCCGCCAAAUGUGUGUUCUUAUCGAAUGUGUUUGUAUUGCGCUUUGGUAAUCUGUUCUUAUAUGAUAAAAUAUUAUAACGUUUCUUCAAGCACGUGUCUUUGUGAGUAACAGCAUUUCUUGUCACGUGCCACUCCGAGACGUCUUAGCAAAAUUACUCGCGCAUGAAAUACCUGAAUUUGGACGAGGAGCUUGCGAACUGGAUUGGGCCUUGUCGCAUUUUGCGGGUGGCGAGUGCUAUUUCACACCCUGGGCGCGCAUAAAAAAUAACAAACAUUUGUAAAAUCGCUCAUAGAAAAUGCUCUUAACCGCUAAGAUCAGUAGUUAUUGGCAAAUGAGGCCCAGAACUCUAUGCAUGUGCAUUUCUUGGAGAAGCACUUUCAUUGCACUCGUGAACAGCAGAGAUCACUGUGCACACAUAUCAAAUCAGACGUGCAUCAGCAGCUUCUUCAAAAUAUAAUCGCACAGGUUUCGUCAAACGCGUGUCUUUGUGUUUAAUUUCUUGUCAUAUAUAACUCCGAGAAGUCUUGCAGAUCGUCCUCCACAGUGGCUGGUACAUCAGCAAAAUUACCCGCCAUUGCGCUUGAAAAAUCAACAUUUGGCUGGUGUUAAUUUCAAAACUUGUUCAUCAGGAGUCGGCUGUAUGACAAAUUCAGGAGAAAGGAAAUCAUAACAGUGUCAUUGACUUCAAGCUUUGCAAUUGCACCCACACUUUCUGCAGGAAAAUUAUCUCUAGAAAGUUUUAAACGAUCAUGUGUUGGUAAAUGGUGAGACACCAGGCGAGCCACUUGAUUUUUAACAAAGAGCCACCUGUGGCUCACGAGCCAUAGGUUCCCAACCCCUGCACUAAACCCAUACAGGGUGCAGGGAACCUUUCAGCUGAGGACAGACACACAGUUGGAGGAAUUAAUUCAGGAUCAGAGCAGACAACAGCAGAUUCACACACAUGGAAGUGGUGACCAGGGUAAAACUGUUUGGAAACACAGCUAUUAUCCUCAGUAAAGGGAACUAGGUGCGUUCACCUUAUAUAGAAGAAGCUUCUAACAUCUUAAAGGGAUAGUUUGCCCCAAAAUUAAAAUUCUGUCAUUUACUCACCCUCAUGUUCUUCCAAACCCCUAUGACUUUGUUUCUUCUGUGGAACUCACCAUUUACUUUUAUUUAAUAUUUUUUCCAUACAAUGAAAGUGAAUGGUAACUGAGGCUGUCAUUCUACCUAACAUCUCCUUUUGUGUUCCAUGGUAGAAAGAAAGUCAUACUGAUGUGGAACAACAUGAGGGUGAGUAAAUUAUGACAGAAUUUUCAUUUUUGGGUGAACUAUCACUGUAAGGCAUGACACACACUUUUGUUAUAGCCAAGAAGCUACCACAACUGAAUUCUCAGGAAUUUAUGUACUCUAGAAGUAACAUGCACUUGCACAACAACAUGAUUUUUACUUUUUCAUUUGGCGUACACUAGGUGUUUGUGUAGAGCUCUAAAUCUAUUUGUUUUUUAUGCUCUUAAUAUAAAUUACGACUUUUAAAUACUCUUUGGCCUUAAAUAUAAUUUAUUGGACACUUGCACUAUUAUAUCAAUGACUUUGUGUUUAUUUGUAUCAAGUUUAGUUUGAGUGACUUUACUUUGUAUAUUAAACACUUUUUGAUGCUAGAGGGCAGCAGAGUACAAGAUCAAAUUCUCCCCUGAAAAUGAUGCUCUAUGGGUGAUCAAAAGUCAUAUAUUUUGUUGUUAUUGUUAUAUAAAUCUGUUAGUACAUUGUUUCAUAUUACAUGAAAUAGUAGAAAAUUGUAACAUUGUCUUAUAAGAUCUGUUAAGUACUAGUGUCUUUUUUUAGACAGUUUAUCACCAAGUCACCACAUUAAUUGAUGAGUGAUGCUACCAGUAAGUGCAAAUGUAUUGUGCUGAAUUUAAGAGACUAGUAAAAUAAAUUCGAUUUGCCACACACUAUUAGAGAUCUUUGAAGAAACUUUUCAUUGCAGUCAAACGUCUCUCCCUUUUUGCCUCUUUUAAUUUAACUGACUCUUAUUGGGGAACUGUUCUAGAAACUGAAACAGAAAACUUAAUUGUCCUCAAGCUGGGGUUUAUUUUUGUUGAAAGCAGAGUUGAUAUGGAAAUAUAAUUCUGGUAUCAAUAAGACAAAUCUCCUUUUAAACAAAUGAGCUGUUCCAAGCUGUUCAGCAGACUACUGGCUUACAAACAUCAUCUCUUGAGGUUCCCAAAACUCUGAAGAUAAGUACAUAAUUGCACUUUUAGUGCUGUCCCAUAAAAUAGCCUUAUACAUUCAAUCUUAAUUAUUUCUAGCAGAAAAAAACGUUCAUACUUUAAAAGGGAGAAAGAAAAAUAUGAAAUUUAGAAUAACAGUGUCCUCAGCUGACUUUCAUUUUUACUCCCUACGUUUGAGAAAAUCAAACUCAAAACCUCAAUUCUUUCAUGACUGCUAUAGACACACACAUGCACACAUACCCCUUCCACAUAACACCAUGACAGUAACAAUCAAUCAACAAUUUUUGGGGUUAUUUUGAAUAGAAAAAGAACUUCAAUCUUCACAAGAUAAGAAGUUACCAAACCUACUUAUUUAAUUUACCUGUAAAAUGUACUCGAAUUAGCCAAAAAAAAAAAAAAAAAAAAAAGAAAAAAAUGUACACGGUUUUCUACUUUAGGAUUGGUACAUGAUGAUGCAUUGUAAAGAUAACAAACAAUCAUAAAUAAUAUUUACUUAUAAGCUAGAGCAUUAAUUUUUACGUUUGAAUUUAGUAAAAAUGUAGAAUUUACUUAAUGUUUUCAAGUUUAAACUAACUUAUUCAAUGUAGAAAGUACUUAAUUUUUUCUGCUAUAUUUACAAAAUAUUUUUUUCUUCAGUUUAUGAUUUCAUCAUCUAGUACAAUCAUUACGACUUGUCAAAAGACUGGGUUGGAGGCAUCAUGCAAUAAUCCUUAGGAGCUUUGUCUGUUUGUUUAUUAUAAUAUUGUAGUUCCGGUAGCUCAACAGGAUAGACCAUAGUGCUAACAAUGACUAGAACAUAGGUCCAAUUCCUAGGGAAUGUAUGGAUUUAUAAAAAAUGUGUUCCUCAAGAGCACUUGAAGUCGCUCUUUGCCAAAUGUGUAAAUAGAGUAUAUUGUGUAUCCAACAAUAUAGAGUGCAAAUUAACACCAGUUAUCUGGGAAGUGAACGCGUAGUGUAGCGAUUCAAAUCAAAGAUAAUUGGUACCUCAUAAACCAUUAUGUUCAGUCACCACAGUAACUACUGAAAACCGACAGGAUUUUCUUUGGUAAAACCUCCAUCAAUCAAACACGAAACAUAAGUUGUGGAUGCUUUUGGACACAGGAUAUUUCCUGGUGAGUGUAUUUGUCUUUGAUUCAGUUAUUUAAAACAUAUGUCUUAGUGUACUGUCAGACUACAAAAUAAUUUAGUGCAGAAAUAAGUGGCACAUACUUUUCAGCGCAUUUCUGAUAAAACUUUGAUGCCACUGGUUUUGUGUCCAGCAGCUGGUGAUGGCCCAUCCUCCUGACUAGUUCACUCUGCUUGCCACCUGCUCUUCACCAUUUCCUUUAGAGCAUUACUGGAAGUGGUUCCGUUUGAGGGAGGGUCCGUUUGAGCAUUCAACAGCUGUGCAGCGGUGCAGUGGAGGAAGCCAAAAUCAAGUGAAAGUGGUGGAGAGCGAGGAGUGGGCAGCAGUAAGAGCAAUCACCCCUUGAGUCCUCUCUUGUGCUAAUUUAUUUAAUCUGCAGAAAAUUGGGCUUAACGGCAUCCCUCCUUUCUCCCCGUCCACUGACUGUGUCUGAAAUUGGGAGAGGAGAAUGCUCAUCCCCCUCAGUGCCCACCAGGAACUCUUAAAACCUUCUCAGUGGCCACCAAAAUCCUAAAACCCCAGCAUUGUUCCCCCAGGUAGCGGCCUCUUGUCCGGGGUCACUGGUUUCAUUGUAAGAUAAUGAGCAUGAAAUCAAAGCAAAGGUGAACAAUAGACAUUCUUUAUGCUGGAGUGCGCACAAGCCUCCUGUUCCUCUCCGAGACGUGGGGUGGGAGGUAUUUUAGCUGGAUGCAAGCAGAGAGCAGGAAGGGUUCUUGAAAGAAGGCCCUCUGCUUUCCAUAAAACAGGUCAGAUGGGAGUUUAAAUGCUGAACAAUCAGGCAGAAUUGGUGCAUAUGAAUGACCAGAGUGUUGUGAUCUUGGGAUUUAGCCAUGAUGGACUGUCAAAUCACAUUUCUGCAACUGAAGAGAGGGAGUUGGCAGUUGGAAGCACAUGGCAGGCUGUUGUUUAGAGGUCUCGGUGGCUCAUAUUUUAACUCCUAAACUACAGUUUAUUUUCAUGGUGUACUAUACUGAAAUUGGACAGAACUGUCCCUAUAGGCUAGGUAGAUAUGACAUAAUGAAGGUAUACAGAGCAGCUAUGUUAAUUUGGGGUGGGGGGUCUGUAGAAUUCUGUGGAGUAGAUUUAUAUAUGGUAAAAUGUGUUAAACAUUAUCAAAUUAGCCAAAAUAUUCUAUAAACUAGGAUGCAAGGGACAGGGGAAGUGUAGAACUGUUUGAAUGAUGGGGGUUCCAAUUCUGUGGAAAUCUGUAGAGAUUUCUGCUGGCAUGGGUAGGUCUGCUUAUAUACAUGUAAGGAUGUAUGGUCGUUAUGGCCCUAAUCGCCACCAACACAAUAUAUGCUUUUUUGUGAGUCUCUUUGGUAAACAAAUAUCUGCCAAGAAUGUUGACAUGAGGUUGAGAUAUAUUUGAAAAGUUUAAAACAUUUCAUACUGUAGUACAGUGUUAUUUCUAAUGUCAAGCCACAUUGUAACAACAAAAGAAUCACCAUUAUUGUAAGAAGCUACGUGAGAGUGUGUGUAAUUCUUGACCAGCAUGUGAUGUGAAAGCACAGUAGAAACAGAUGGUUUGAUUUUCUUUGUCAAAACCAUGUUUGUCAUUAUUUUUUCAAAUCAUAUUUUCUACAGUGAGAAAGCUUAAUCUAAAGCUGUGUCCCAAAUCGCAUUCUUCUGCACUAUUCCGCUGCCUUUUGUAGCAUAAGUCAAAGACCCCCAAAAAUUAUGAUAUCCUUGCAAGGGACCCCCUUCCUAAAAUAUAAAAGCAGCUUCAUAUUUUCAUGUAUAAAGACCAAAUUUUACUGUGAGAAAAAUAGUGUGAUAUUAUAAAGAUAACGUGUUAGCAAAAUUAAAUAAUGUCAUUGUAAUAAAGACAAAAGAUAUGAUAAAAAUUGCAUCUCCAAAAAUAUUUUUGUAUUUACAAUGUAUCAUUUUUAUUAUGCACUUUUUUUUCUUUCUUUUUUUAAACCAAAAGAGAAAAAAAAUCAGUUAAAUGAAAAUGUAUUUGUAUUGCACUUUCACAAUAAAUAUUGUUCCAAAAAAGCUUUACUAAGAAUAUGGUCUUACAACCGAGCAAGCAAAAAGUUCGAGAAAUAUUGUUUUAAUCACAAACCUAUCUAAAAACCUACAAUAACCAUGGCUGUCAAUAGAAGAAAAUAAUCAGGAUGAAUCUCAUGUUUUCCAACCAGUCUUUAGAAAGCAGAAUGAAACAGUAAAAAUGUCAAAUGUUUUUUUACAUUUUUUUUAAUUUACGCAGACCCCCUUCCCCGGAACCCAGUUUGAUAACCUCUGGCGUAGUGUGUCAUGCUCAGCGAUGGCCGGUAUGCUAGCCUGACAAACAGUUGUAAUUAUCAUAAAUGUGGGAACUAGUGAAACUUCUAUAAAAACAACAUCUCUGGUUGUGGUAACUUUAACUUGUUCAAAGAGUCCUUGAUUAUGUCAGCAGGGUGGAAAGAAGCUUGUUUGAUCAAAGGAUAGGCUGGUGGUGGAUAAGAGCUUGUUUUUUUAGGAACAAAUUUUCAUCACUGGACAGACUGUUAUUUUCAAGUGUCGGUCUUUGUUUUCGGUGAUGCCUUUCUGCAGGGUUCAAGUUGCCAAGGGGGAGUUCGGUGCUAACAGUAAUGCUGAAACAGAAGACGACCAGGGCUUGUUGUCACACUUUUUACUCCAGUGAAUAUUUCUCAGAGUAGGUUUAACUUUUGAAAGUUGAUUUCUGUAUAGAGACAUACCUUGGUCUUGGCUACAAAAAAUAUUGAACAUUUGCCCCAUUAUUGCCCAAGAUAAAGUUCAUUAAAGUAACGCAAUUUUGUGUCACACUAAAUGAGGUUGUCACAAUGGAAUGUGCCAUAUACAACUAAUUAUAGGCUUUUCAGCACAAUUUAAUCACUAAUACAAUUAUUAUACACAAAUCAAUUCAUAAAAAAGAAACAAAUGUAAAAGGUAACAUACAAAAAUAUCAAACCAUUGUUUUGGCCAACAUAGAGUAUAUUGUAAUUAAUAAAAUGUAUAAAUGUACAACAUUUGACUCUUAUGAAAUAUACCCUUAAUCUACUUUUAUUGUAUUGUUGAACCUUGUUUUAACGUUUGCCAGUGUGGUUUUAUUGUGUUGUUGUAUGCGAUGUUGUAGCUUUAAUUUGGAGGAUGGAAAAAGACACUCAAAUUAAGGAACAGUUUUGAACUAGAUGUUUGAAACCAAAAUACAAAAACACAUUUGUGCAAUUGGAAUUUUGACUUUAAAUCUUGUAGUUACUGAGAUAAAGCCCUUGUGACAACUUCCCCAUGUGAUAUCUAUUGAUAAGGCCUUUGGGUGGCGCUCUUGAUCCACACAUGACCUAAUUUGGCUCUUUAUAAUGAAAAUGUCUCAUUGCUACUGCCACUUAUAAAUGAUUUACCAGUCUCCUGCAACAGCAUGUCAUUAUUUCCACAUAAAUACAGCAUUUUUCCUUACCAGUCCUCUGUCACUUCAGUACCUCUACCAAACAGUCUGACAUUUAUUCUACUGUCUGAAUACCGUUUUCCUCACAAGCAGGUACAUGGCAGACAUUUGUGUCUUUCAUCUGGUGUUGAUUAAGGCAGCCGUUUGAAAUAACAAACUUGUAGCAUCCUGAGUAUGUUAUACAAUAUACUGUUGUCAAUAUGAUAAACACUUAAGUUUAUUGAAUUAACAUAAUAUUAUAUACAUUUAUAUCAAUGUAAUUUAUGAAUUAAUAAAUGUAAUAAAUUAAGGAUUAGCAACACAUAAGUGGUAAGUUCACCCAAAAUGUUCGCCCAAAGAUUGUACCCAAAAACGAUUAAGCCUAACAGCUCCUUUCGUUUUUCUGAAAAGUCAUAUCGAUAUCAUAUCAUAUCGAAAAGUCAAACGAUAACAUAAUUCCACAUUUGUUUAACUAAACCUUUAAAAAACACAUCUGAAAGACAUUUGAAGGCAAUUGCAUAUAUCAGAACAAGACGUUUGUUGCAACACAUGAGUGGAAGACAAGCACCCUAUUCAGGUAAGAAGACAAUAUUAUUGGUCUUAAUCUAAAAGGAGACUUGGUACUUUUGGGUUUUAAAAGGCUCUCUGUCCUGGCCAACCAUAGUGACCCAGACGCGUAUUGAAAAAAGUGAUGAUUGUUAUAAUGUUCCUGUUUUUGAAGGCAUAAACAGGGAGACGGGAGAGUCAAAGGUGAACUGCAAAGAACUUCCUGAUCAGAGGGGGCAGUGGAGGAAGGCAACCUUGAACAAGUAGCCAAUUCACACUGGAAAGAAUUCCAUAAGCCUUCUUUACUGUUUUUAUUUUUUUUCCUGACUUUAACACCAAACUAAAAUGAAUGGCAGCCAAAUGAGUCCAGCCUCCAUUUGUCAGUUUAAGCUAGAGGUAAGUUGAUGAUGAGUGUUCUGUUAUUAAAGCAUUCAGGAACUUUCCAGUUAUUUACCAAAUGUUUGUAGCCACACAGUGUUAUUCUGCUCUUAUGCUUGAAGGCAGUUGGAGUUU